GACCGCUCCGGUGACUUAGUGGUUAGAGCGUCCGCCUCGGAUUCGGAAGGUCGCGGGUUAAAACCCCAGGCUGAGUCA